GAAACCCAGUUUGGGAACUGGCUGGGGCGAGUGAGAAAGAAAGAGAGCCGGGGCGUGCUGAACACGUUUCACAUCACCUCAGAGCUGUGGAAUUUCCUCUCUUCUGGGGGGAGGCCUGUGAAGAUGCAGUUGGUUUAAGGUUUAUGACAUUUGGGAAUAGGAACUACUAUUUGAAACUGGCCCUUCUGGAUUUCUUAGUGGCUUCCUAAGAACAGGUGAUCAUCCCUGUUAGGUAGAUGAAGAAAGCCAAGGUUCAGAAAUGUCCAUACCUGCAUAUUCCCAUAGUUUAUAAGGGGUAAAUUCCUACAGUGACUGAAAUCUAACUGGAGACCAGGCUUCAUUUCUUAUAUCACCUUAGUAUCACCGCCCUGCAUUACGCCUCCAGCAGGCCUGAAGCUGUGGCUGUCGCCCAUUAAGUUCACUUGGACGUAAGAGGUGCCAAGGAGAUGGAGGUCACUGGCUUUAUCCCUGUGAGGACCCAAUAUCUUUGUCCUAUUCCAAGACCACAGACUCUACGUACCCUCGAAUUUGAUGAAAACUUGGAAUUAAGGAGAAAAACCGGGAUCGUCUGUGUCUUUCAUGACUACUGGACAAAAGUAGAAAGUACUUACUGAACACCCAUAUGGGCGAGUUAGAUCUGGGAUUGUGUUGGACACUGAGAAUUCCAAAGCUAAUAAUGGGGUUAGAAGUUAAUAUUCUAACUCUGGAGACCAACGUAGAAGCAAGCCAUUCUACAAUGUGAGACAUGCCAUCAGAGAGCUAUGGUCCCUUAGUGGAAGGAAGAAUUCGUUCUGCUGGGCUGGGUAGGUGUCCUUUGAACCAGAGAUAGGAGGAGGGGAGAGUACAUUCCAAACCCAGAGAAGAGCUGGGGCAAAGGUACAAAGCCUGAGUGAGCACAGCCUGAUCAGGGAACUUGGAGUCCAGAACAUUCCACAGAAAGCAGUCUUUUUUUUUUUUUUUUUUUUUAAUGCAAAGAAGAACUUUGGCAGGUGUCAGUCUAUAUCAUCAUCAUCAUCAUCAUCACCAUCAGACCUAACAUUUAUAGAACUGUGCCAGGCACUCUAAGUGCUUUACUCACAUCUCGUGUUUUAAGUACAACAACCCUAAGAGGUAGGUCUUAACACCUUUUAUAGGUGAGAAAACUGAGGCCUAGGGAGCUGGGAAGAUACUACCCCAGGUUAAAGAGCACCUGUGCUGUUCU